rnacentral:lncRNA from 1 species
GCAAAAACAAGAAGGAAAAAAAAAUAAAAUUUGUAUCUGUCAUAGGGCCAAAACAGAAGGAAGCUGCUUUGGAUUCUUCUUUUAAGAACAAACUAGGAUUACAACAAACAAAUUAUAGUACAAGUCUUGGUACAUAUAUGUCUAUAAUUAAUUUAGUAUGGUAUUUUUGCCGGUUCUUACAUUUACAAUUUCCAACACUCAAAUUAGCUGUUUUUGGUUGAUUUUUAGAUAACAACUUAUUGAAUUAUUUCAUGGUUUUAUGAAAUAAAUAAAUAAACCAUACAACAAAAUAACAACUCUUUGUCUAUAUGCCAACUUCGUGCUACCCAUGCACCAAAUUUAUACAUGUGAACCAUAUCUAGCAUGUCGGUCGAUAACCUCAACAUCACAUUGCUCCUUCCCUUAACUAUUAUGUGUUUUCAAAGAAAUUACACAUGUUAUUAACCCUACAAAUAGAAAGCAACAAAAAUUGAACAAAACAACAAGCACACAAAUUUUUGCAUGUUAUGGUCAACAGAGUAGCAGAAUUCAAUCAUGUAAAAACAAAAGCAACAUCCAUUAUCGAUUGUCAAAAACAAACGGAGCCUAAGAAACAAGCUACCAAGUCAGUUCAGUUUUCCAGCUACAAUUCCAUAUCAAGAAAUUCAAAACAACCAAAUGAAAACUGAAAAGCAAUACUCUGAUUAAAUUAAAAAGUAGGACUAAACCCCAAGUUUCGAUUCCUUAAAUAAUCGAGGUGGACAGUGUUAGUGGCAAAAAAACUCAUUUUCAAAACUAAAAUUUAUUUCCAACAUGAACAGAAAGACAAAAGCUAUUUGGCAUGUCUAAUAUGAAGUGGUUACAAAUAAACUUACAACUAAUUAAUUGCAGCAAACAGCAAAUUGCAACAAACAACUAUUCGGCAUUAAAAGGCUAAACCAAAUUGCAGCAAACAACAAAACCAAACAAGGUCUUGUGAAAAAAAAAGCAGAAUAAAUCCAGAACAGCUUAUCCUAUAAAUGCUGCUUGCUAAGACUGGUCUUUUUCCCCAGAAGCGUCAUAAAAGUUUUAAAGUUUUAAAGAACAUUCAUCAUUACUACCAAUUGACCACCAAAGAGAAAAGAGAAGAGGCUCUCAUGCUUGAUCCUUUGAUUCUAAAAUCGAUCUAACUAAUGUAUAUACGUCAAGAAAAUCACUAGUCCUUCAUUUGAAAAACAUGCUGCUAUUUCAUUUCAAUCAACAGAAAGACAAAAGCAGACCAUUCUCUUGUUUCAUUAUGUUUGGUUAAAACUCGGGCAAAGACUAGUAAAGUUCAUAGCUUUUCAACGAGAAAUAAGAACCAACCCAAAGCUAAGAAUGAGAAUUAAAGGUAAAAAAGUUCAUGGCACCCAAAACCCAAAUAAGUUUACCGAAUCUUAAAACUUAAAGCUUCUUUAUCUUAUCAUUGACCUAAGCCUGGGCGUAUGAGGCUUUCUAACUUUGUUUUUAGUAAGGAAACUCUGUUUCUUUUCGACUCUGUUAGUGAUCCCGAAUCGAGCUUGAUACCUAGUGGGGAUUAUUGCGUUGGAUUGAUCAGUCGAUAAUCCCCUUAUGACUUCAAGAAGAGACAAAAGGUCAAUGUUUUAUGUGAAAAAAAAGAGGGUCUUUAAGAUCUCUUAAUCUGGCUACUGGUGCAAGCUUCUAGCUUUCUAAAUGGGACUUUCUAAAUGAGUUGAUUCUCUUGCAAAUCCAGCCGAAAUGAUUUCUUCAACUCUAACUAAAAAUACUUAUAAAAGGGGUUUUUGUUUUAGGUAAGAAGGAAUGCCCUAGUUUCGAUUAUUAGUAGAAUUACAGCAAACAACAACAAAUUGCAGCAAACAACAAACAGAGGAAGUAGAAGGAAGCAGAGUUACCUGGAUGAAGAAGAAAGAAAAUGAAGAACGGCUUGGCUAGGAAAGAUUGGUGAGAGUUGGAACCACCGAAACGAAACAGCAGCCCUGAGAAAAGAAGAUUUGUGAAAAGCUAGGAAAAAAUGAAAUUAAAAGAUGAUAGAAGAAGUAGGAGGAACGUACCUGGAUGGAGAAGAAACAAGAUGAAGAACGGUGUAAGGGGGAAGCCUGAUGAGAGUUGGAAAAUGUCUUACGGAAAAAAAUUCUGUAAGACAUUUUCCUUAAAACCUUAGGCAUUUUACCCGUGAUUGUGAAAAUAUUUUCCCCAUGUAAAAGCUUUUCAGUCAAACAAACACCAGAAAAUCAAGAAAACAUUUUCCUGGCAAACAAACACACCCUUA